AAAAAGAAAAAAAAAAAAGAAUAAAAAUUAUCAGGUACUCCUUUGAGAUCAAUGGGUAAAAUGCAAUGUCAUGUGAAAGGGACGAUCCAUGUACUUGUGCUGGUAUUAAGUGCAAAUGUAUUAGAAUAAGCAAAUUCUUGGUGACUUUUCACAACCCUUGAUUACUGGAGAAUUACGUGAUUAAAAAAAAGGAGAAGAAAAAAAUUAGCGAAGUCGAAUGGCGGUCGUGACUCACUUACACUGAGAAGCGUCCCAACCUUAGACUUAGCGAGAAAAAAAAGAAAAAAAAAUAGAAAAAAAAUUGGAGAGGCAUAGGAAUUCUUUGGUGACCCUAAAUUGUAGUUGACUCUUUAGUAAAGAAGCGUUUAAGCCUGAUUCUGAUUAACGGCUCAUAGUGAGGACUCUGUUGAAGUUUGAUAGUCUUUGUUUUGUUUCGCUAGAGAGCAUGCUAGCACAGACGAUGCACUUCACACUUGUAGUGGAAGAGAACAUGGCUAAUAUGUGAAAGAGAUGAAUGCCGAGAAUGUUGCAUAUUCUGAGGAUGCUAUGUUAAUAAGGAUUACACUUCAUGAUUCGAUUAGAUGUAGGCAUUUAGUUGCAU
rnacentral:lncRNA from 1 species